UAUUAGAAAGCGAAAUUAUCGCAUUUAGUUUCGACCUAAACCCUUGGCCCUUAAGCCUCUAAUAA
rnacentral:tRNA from 2 species